UAGCUCUAAGGUUCCGACAAACUAUAAAGCCCAUAGUAAGAUAAAACAUUUUAUUUUUAAAUAAUUAUAUUUGGUCCAGGCAUGGUGGCUCACACCUGUAAUCCUAGCACUUUGGGAGGCCUAGACGAAUGGAUUGCUUAAGUCCAGGAGUUCAAGAUCAGCCUGGACAACAUGGCGAAACCUGGUCUCUAAAACAAACAAACAAACAAAAAAUUAUAUUGGCAAGGCAUACUAAAGUUAAUAUUUUUAUGUCUCCAAUUCUUUCUCAGUAUAUUGGGCUACAUAAGUUUCCUCUAUAUGAAAUAAUGAAACAUAUAAGUAAUUUUUUUUUUUUUUUUGAGAUGGAGUCUCAC
rnacentral:lncRNA from 10 species